AAUUCCCAAAACCUCACCUUUACAUGUCAUCACAUCACCAAGAAGCAUAAUGUGUCGAGGAUCAACUGUAAGACCAUGUUUGGCCAUCGUAUACCCAAUCUCAGAGAUAAUGGAGUAACGGGCGGCUUCAAUACCUAGGACAUCCUUCAUUUCCAUUACAUGAUUAGUACUAGUUUUCGUUCCCACAAUCCCUUCUGUAUUCAUUACAGCCUGUAAACCGGUACCUUCCAUGAAGAGCUCAAUUUUACCGGAUUCUUGAUUGAUAACCGAACGAUUAAUGGUCGGUAUUCCAGCAACUACAACAUCUGGUAAAACGCGCUUAUACGUUUGCAAUCUGUAAUAAACUUCUGUUUCGCUACUCUUCCCAUCGGAAGAGGUGUGAACGUGAAUCUGCUGAAGUGUGUUGUUAACAGUGACUUGUUGAGAU